rnacentral:rRNA from 1 species
UACGAAGGGGGCUAGCGUUGCUCGGAAUCACUGGGCGUAAAGCGCACGUAGGCGGAUUGCUAAGUCAGGGGUGAAAUCCUGGAGCUCAACUCCAGAACUGCCUUUGAUACUGGCGACCUUGAGUCCGGGAGAGGUGAGUGGAACUGCGAGUGUAGAGGUGAAAAUUCGUAGAUAUUCGCAAGAACACCAGUGGCGAAGGCGGCUCACUGGCCCGGUACUGACGCUGAGGUGCGAAAGCGUGGGAGCAAACAGG